rnacentral:rRNA from 1 species
UUGACCUCAAAUCAGGUAGGACUACCCGCUGAACUUAAGCAUAUCAAUAAGCGGAGGAAAAGAAACUAACAAGGAUUCCCCUAGUAACUGCGAGUGAAGCGGGAAGAGCUCAAAUUUAAAAUCUGGCGGCUUUGUGGUCGUCCGAGUUGUAGUCUGGAGAAGUGUUAUCCGCGUCGGACCGUGUACAAGUCUCCUGGAACGGAGCGUCAUAGAGGGUGAGAAUCCCGUCCAUGACACGGACCGCCGAUGCUUUGCGAGGCACUCUCGAAGAGUCGAGUUGUUUGGGAAUGCAGCUCAAAAUGGGUGGUAAAUUCCAUCUAAAGCUAAAUAUUGGCGAGAGACCGAUAGCGAACAAGUACCGUGAGGGAAAGAUGAAAAGCACUUUGGAAAGAGAGUUAAACAGUACGUGAAAUUGUUGAAAGGGAAACGCUUGAAGUCAGUCGCGUGCGUUAGAACUCAGCCUGGCUUCGGCCUGGUGUACUUUCUAUCGUACGGGUCAACGUCAAUUUUGGACGGUGGACAAAGGCGAGGGGAAUGUAGCGCGGCUUCGGCGGCGUGUUAUAGCCACUUGUUGUAUACACCGGCUGGGAUUGAGGACGGCAGCACGCCCUUGUGGCCGGGGGUUCGCCCCACGUAACGUGCCUUAGGAUGUUG